rnacentral:tRNA from 1 species
GGCUCCGUAGCCCAACUGGAAGAGGCGGCGGUCUUAGAAACCGUUCGUUGCAGGUUCGACUCCUGCCGGAGCUA